UGNGAAAGCUAUGGAGGUCCUAGAGCCUGU
rnacentral:piRNA from 1 species